GCCUUUCUGGUGUAGUGGGGAGCACUCUCGACGUGUAUUCGAGAGGUCCGUGGUUCGAGUCCCGGCGAGAGCA
rnacentral:tRNA from 1 species